AAAACGCAAACCCAGAUACAUGUGUAACAGCGGUAUCAAUAAAUUCAUGAAUGUAUAAAUAUUAAUUACAUAUAAAAACAUUUCAACACUUGUUAACAUUUUUGAUAAACACAGAAAAUUGCAUACACAGAUGUACAUUAUAUAUUGAAAGCAGUCCUUUUACUUUUAUUAGGAUUCACUGUAACGUAGGUAGGUAAACAAUAAAAUUUUAAGGAUGUUCGCUUGCCAUGUUUUGGAAUUUUUAUCAGAUUUUCAGAAUCCUCUGGUUUCAUCCAUUUGAAUACCUUAACAAAUUUGCCCAUUGACCUCAUUUUUCUUUUCAUACAUCUGUUACAUGUUUCAUGAUAAGCCAUCUGUAAAAGUCUUAUAAAAAUCUAAUUCUUUUUUAAUUGUUUUUGAGAACUUAAACUUUUCAAUGAAAAAGAUAAGAAAAGUCAAGAGAGAACAUUUUCCCGCCAAAAUUCCAAUGGCUAAUAUCUCGAAAACAAGCACAUUGAUCUAUAUAUAUUUUUUCUCUUUUGAUUCCUUUAUUUAUCCCCUAUCAAUAUAAAGUGUUUUGAAAAGCUUAUUAUUUAAAAAAUGAGAAGCGAACUCCUCUUUUUCGGAAAAUAUUAUCUUCUUCUAAUUUCG
rnacentral:lncRNA from 1 species